UACAGAGACCUCGAGCGUUAUCCGGAUUUAUUGGGCGUAAAGCGUUCCGAUCGGCCGCCAAAUGUGUCUAUUUGUGAAAGACCGAAGCUCAACUUCGUGUUUGCAUUAGAAACUGUUUGGCUAGAAUUACAAAGGGGUGGCUGGAACUCUGCAAGUACCGGUGAAAUGGGUUGAUAUGCAGGGGAACACCAAAAGCGAAAGCAGGCCACUGGGUGUAUAUUGACGCUGCUAGGACGAAAGCGUGGGGAGAGAAUGGG
rnacentral:rRNA from 1 species